AUUGGACGCUGGCGGCAUGCCUUACACAUGCCAGUCGAACGGCAGCACGGGUGCUUGCACCUGGUGGCGAGUGGCGAACGGGUGAGUAAUACAUCGGAACAUGUCCUGUAGUGGGGGAUAGCCCGGCGAAAGCCGGAUUAAUACCGCAUACGAUCUACGGAUGAAAGCGGGGGACCUUCGGGCCUCGCGCUAUAGGGUUGGCCGAUGGCUGAUUAGCUAGUUGGUGGGGUAAAGGCCUACCAAGGCGACGAUCAGUAGCUGGUCUGAGAGGACGACCAGCCACACUGGGACUGAGACACGGCCCAGACUCCUACGGGAGGCAGCAGUGGGGAAUUUUGGACAAUGGGCGAAAGCCUGAUCCAGCAAUGCCGCGUGUGUGAAGAAGGCCUUCGGGUUGUAAAGCACUUUUGUCCGGAAAGAAAUCCUUGGCCCUAAUACGGUCGGGGGAUGACGGUACCGGAAGAAUAAGCACCGGCUAACUACGUG
rnacentral:rRNA from 1 species